ACUAGUAGUUGUUAAGCCCGCCGAAGGAGACUGACACGAGGUGGGCUAAUGGCGCAACAGCUACAUCCCAACCCACGCCAUGGCCGCCCUCUAUAUAAGCAGCGGAGCUCCGCGAGCCCUCCUCAUCAACCGAGCAGCGAUCGCAGAGCUCGGAGCACUCGCCUAGACACCAGCAAUGGCGGCGGCUCGUCUCGUCGUCGCGUUCCUCGCCGUGUCCUCCGGCUUCCUGGCCGUGUCCGGGCAGAAGUUCAACGCCAUCUUCAGCUUCGGCGACUCCAUGUCCGACACCGGCAACCUCUGCGUGAACGGCCCCCCCGCCGGCCUGACCCUCACCCAGCCGCCCUACGGCGAGACCUUCUUCGGCCGCGCCACCUGCCGCUGCUCCGACGGCCGCCUCGUCGUCGACUUCCUCGCCGAGAAGUACGGGCUGCCGCUGCUGAAGCCGUCGAAGCAGGGCGGCUCCGACUUCAAGAAGGGCGCGAACAUGGCGAUCAUCGGCGCCACCACCAUGGACUCGGGCUUCUUCCAGUCGCUGGGCAUCGCCGACAAGAUCUGGAACAACGGGCCCCUCAACACCCAGAUCCAGUGGUUCAAGCAGCUCAUGCCCUCCAUCUGCGGCUCCACACAGGCCUGCAAGUCGUACCUGUCCAAGUCCCUGUUCGUGCUGGGCGAGUUCGGCGGCAACGACUACAACGCCAUGACCUUCGGCAGCUACUCGCCGGAGCAGGCGAGCGGGCAGAGCGCCACCAUCGUGGACGCCAUCGGCAGCGGCGUGGAGCAGCUGAUCGCGCUGGGCGCCGCCAACGUGGUGGUCCCGGGGGUCCUCCCCGUGGGGUGCUUCCCCAUCUACCUGACGCUGUACCAGACCUCCAACGCCGGCGACUACGACCAGUACGGCUGCCUGCGGCGGUUCAACGCGCUGUCGGCGCGGCACAACCAGCUGCUGCAGAGCAAGGUGACAAGCCUGCAGGGCCAGUACCCGGGCGCCCGGAUCAUGUACGCCGACUUCUACAGCCACGUCUACGACAUGGUCCGGAGCCCCGGGAGCUACGGGUUCAGCACCAACCUCCGGGCCUGCUGCGGCGCCGGCGGCGGCAAGUACAACUACCAGAACGGCGCGCGGUGCGGCAUGGCCGGCGCGUCGGCGUGCGGCAACCCGGCGGCGUCGCUCAGCUGGGACGGCAUCCACCUCACGGAGGCGGCGUACAAGAAGAUCGCCGACGGGUGGGUCAGCGGGGCGUACUGCCACCCGGCCAUUGGAGCCUAGAGGGAGCUCCAGGAAUCAGCAUCAAGGGGUGACUGGCUGGCUGGUUUGGUGGAUGGCUCCUCAAGUUAGGGGAGCGGGUGAUUAAUUGUUUGGUUUCUCUAGCUGGAAAACAAGAAGAUGCUCUGGGACAGCGAUGCUAGUGCCCACUUGCGUAGUGUCUAUGUGCAUGCGAUGGGGGAGGCUGUUUAUGUUGUUGGAUUUUGAACUUCGUAAAUUCGUCCGGAAUUCGGGGCACGA